rnacentral:misc_RNA from 1 species
UUGAUAGUUUUUAUUAUCAAAAACCCCUUUGUUUAUCAUUUACCAUGUUGCUUCCAUUGGACAGACCGGCAUUGUGUAUACAAGUUGGUCCUCUAGUUUUGUGUUUAUUUGUCACUAGCUAGGGAGCUGCCAGUGGAUAAAAUCCCAAUAAAACAUUCAUGAAGAAACAUAUAUUGUCUGAUUUAUUAGUACAAAAAAUA